UGGAGAAAUGCAGAAACUCAACAGUGACUGCAAUCCUUAUGACAUUCCUGACCGGGUUCAAGCCGAGACACAAGAAGAAAUGGCAGAUAAACAACCCAGCACAACCUACUGCACAGUAGGACAACAC